AUUCAGAAUUCUUCCCAAAAGGAAAUAGUAUUCUUCUUGCUAUGGCCAAAUUCAGAAUUCUGCUCAAAGGGGAAAAGUUAUUAUUUUUGCUAUAGCCAAAUUGAGAAUCUUCUUCCCUAAAGGAAAAAUGAUUCUAUUUGCUAUGGCCAAAUUCACAAUAUUCUUCCCUAAUGGAAAAAGUAUUCUAUUUGCUAUGGCCAAAUUCAAAAUAUUCUUCUCAAAAGGAAAUGUUAUUCUUCUUGCUAUAGCCAAAUUCAGAAUUGUUCUCAAAGGGAAAAAGUAUUCUUCUUGCUAUGGCCAAAUUCAGAAUUCUUCCCUAAGGGAAAUAGUAUUCUUCCUGCUAUGGCCAAAUUCAGAAUGUUCUUCUCCAAGGGGAAUGUUGUUCUUCUUGCUAUGGCCAAAUUCACAAUAUUCUUCCCUAAGGGAAAAAUUAUUCCUUUUGCUAUGGCGAAAUUCAGAAUUGUUCCCUAAGGGAAAAAUGGUUCUAUUUGCUAUAGCCAAAUUCACAAUGUUCUUCUCAAAAGGAAAUAGUAUUCUUCUUGCUAUGGCCAAAUACAGAAUUCUUCUCUAAGGGAAAACCAAUUCUUUUUGCUAUGGCCAAAUUCAGAAUUCUUCUCUAAGGGAAAAACAAUUCUUUUUGCUAUGGCCAAAUUCAGAAUUCUUCUCUAAGGGAANAAACUUUAGCACCAAAAUUUUAAUUAUUCUAUUCCAAACCAUUGGUUUUUUUUAAGUCUCCCAACUCCCUCCUCCAGCAUUUUGCUGCUGUGUGUGCCACACGUGUUUGCAAACAUUGUGAUAUUGUUUGCAUUAUCACAAAUUAUUUCUAAUGCAGAAAUUUGUCCCUCACCUUCACAAGUGUCACAUUUGGGCUCUGAGGUAGCAGGAGCUGAGGAUUUCCUGUCACCCUCCAGGAUCCCAGAGUACCAAUCUUUAGCACCAAAAUUUUAAUUAUUCUAUUCCAAACCAUUGAUUUUUUUUAGUCUCUCUUCCAGCAUUUUGCUGCUCUGUGUGUGCCCCACAUGCAUUUGCAAACAUUGUGAUAAUGCAGAAAUUUGUCCCUCACCUUCACAGGUGUCACAUUUGGGCUCUGAGGUAGCAGGAGCUGAGGUUUUCCCAAUCUUUAGCAUCAAAAUUUUAAUUAUUCUAUUCCAAACCAGAGGUUUUUUGAGUCUCUCCUCCAGCAUUUUGCUGCUCUGUGUGUGCCACACAUGCAUUUGCAAACAUUGUGACAAGGCAGAAAUUUGUCCCUCACCUUCACCGGUGUCACAUUUGGGCUCUGAGGUAGCAGGAGCUGAGGAUUUGCUGUCACUCUCCAGGAUCCCAGAGUCCCAAUCUUUAGCACCAAAAUUUUAAUUAUUCUAUUCCAAACCAUUGGUUUUUUUUGAGUCUCCCAACUCCCUCCUCCAGCAUUUUGCUGCUGUGUGUGCCACACGUGUUUGCAAACAUUGUGAUAAUGCAGAAAUUUGUCCCUCACCUUCACAGGUGUCACAUUUGGGCUCUGGGGUAGCAGGAGCUGAGGAUUUCCCAAUCUUUAGCAUCAAAAUUUUAAUUAUUCUAUUCCAAACCAGAGGUUUUUUGAGUCUCUCCUCCAGCAUUUUGCUGUGUGUGCCCCACAUGCAUUUGCAAACAUUGUGAUAAAGCAGAAAUUUGUCCCUCACCUUCACCAGUGUCACAUUUGGGCUCUGAGGUAGCAGGAGCUGAGGAUUUGCUGUCGCUCUCCACCAUCCCAGAGUCAGAUCCCUCCUCCUGGCUGAGCUGCAGGAAGGAAAAUUCCGGAAUGAGCCCAGCAGAGCUUGCAGGGAGCAGGGGAUGCAGCACUUCCAUCCCCAGGCACCAGCUGCAGGAUGAGACCCAGCAGGUAGGAAAAGAGGAAAUAAUUCAGAAUAAAAAACUACAAACUAAAUUCUCUUUAAAGCCU
ensembl:lncRNA